rnacentral:rRNA from 1 species
AGCGGAGGGAUCAUUACUGAGUUAUUAAAACUCCAAACCCUUUGUGAACCUUACUGUCGUUGCCUCGGCGUGAGCUACGGCUACCCUGUAGUUACCCUAUAGCUACCCUGCAGCUACCCUAUAGUUGACCAGUGGCUACCCUGUAGUUACCCUAUAGCUACCCUGCAGCUACCCUAUAGUUGACCAGUAGCUACCCUGUAGCCGGCUUAUGGCCCGCCGAAGGACCGCUAAACUCUUGUUUUUUUACCACUGUUUCUCUGAAUUGUAAACUUAAAUAAGUUAAAACUUUCAACAACGGAUCUCUUGGUUCUGGCAUCGAUGAAGAACGCAGCGAAAUGCGAUAAGUAAUGUGAAUUGCAGAAUUCAGUGAAUCAUCGAAUCUUUGAACGCACAUUGCGCCCAUUAGUAUUCUAGUGGGCAUGCCUAUUCGAGCGUCAUUUCGACCCUUAAGCCCCUGUUGCUUAGCGUUGGGAAUCUACAGCGUAGUUCCUUAAAGUUAGUGGCGGAGUUAGGGUACACUCUCAGCGUAGUAAUCUUUCUCGCUCGUGUGGUGGCCCUGGCUGCUAGCCGUUAAACCCCUAUAUUUUCUAGUGGUUGACCUCGGAUUAGGUAGGAAUACCCGCUGAACUUAAGCAU